UGGGCAACCUGCCCCUCUCUCUGGGAUAACCCCCGGGGAAACCGGAGCUAAUACCGGAUACUCCGGCUGGAUCGCAUGGUCCGGCCGGGAAAGGUCCGCCGGAGAGGGAUGGGCCCGCGGCCUAUCAGCUUGUUGGUGGGGUAACGGCCCACCAAGGCGACGACGGGUAGCCGGCCUGAGAGGGUGACCGGCCACACUGGGACUGAGACACGGCCCAGACCUCCUACGGGAGGCA
rnacentral:rRNA from 1 species